GAUUAUGACGUACUUGUACUGAUUGAGAUUUUAACACGAAGUGAGUGGCGAACGGGUGAGUAACACGUGGGUAACCUGCCCAGAAGUAGGGGAUAACACCUGGAAACAGAUGCUAAUACCGUAUAACAGAGAAAACCGCAUGGUUUUCUUUUAAAAGAUGGCUCUGCUAUCACUUCUGGAUGGACCCGCGGCGUAUUAGCUAGUUGGUGAGGUAAAGGCUCACCAAGGCAGUGAUACGUAGCCGACCUGAGAGGGUAAUCGGCCACAUUGGGACUGAGACACGGCCCAGACUCCUACGGGAGGCAGCAGUAGGGAAUCUUCCACAAUGGACGCAAGUCUGAUGGAGCAACGCCGCGUGAGUGAAGAAGGGUUUCGGCUCGUAAAGCUCUGUUGUUAAAGAAGAACGUGGGUAAGAGUAACUGUUUACCCAGUGACGGUAUUUAACCANAAAGCCACGGCUAACUACNUGCCAGCANCCGCGGUAAUACNUNNGUGGCAAGCGUUAUCNNGANUUAUUGNGCGUANNNCGAGCGCANGCGGNCUUUUANNUCUAAUGNGAAANCCUUCNGCUC
rnacentral:rRNA from 1 species